rnacentral:lncRNA from 1 species
CCAAUUGCAAAAAUUGCUUAAUUCAUCACCUAAGCAACAUGAAACUCCAUUACAAUCACAAUUAUUCAUUCCUUAAAACCAACAUUCAACUAUCAAUAAUUUAGCAAAACUCAUGUAAAUGGCCGAAUGCUAUAUCCUCAACCAAAACUAAAGUUUUAACAUGGGCUACGUAGGAAACUAUGUAAUUAACUAAAUUUUCACAAGAAUUUGAAGAUAGCACAUGAAACAUACCUUAAUUUGGAUGCUAAAAUAGCCGAAAGUUUGAUCUCUC